GCCGGGCACAGUGGCUUAUGCCUGUAAUCCCAGCACUUUGGGAGGCCGAGGUGGGCGGAUCACCUGAGGUCAGGAGUUUGAGACCAGCCUGACCAACAUGGUGAAACCCCAUCUCUA
rnacentral:SRP_RNA from 1 species